CCGACGGUGAGGGGUGAAGGGCUGGGGGCGCAAACCGGAUUAGAUACCCGGGUAGUCCCAGCAGUAAACGAUGCCAGCUAUGUGUUGCUGGAACCAUGGGUUCCAGCAGUGCCGAAGGGAAGCCGUGAAGCUGGCCACCUGGGAAGUACGGUCGCAAGGCUGAAACUUAAAGGAAUUGGCGGGGGAGUACCACAACCGGUGGAGCCUGCGGUUUAAUUGGAUACAACGCCGGGAAUCUUACCGGAGGGGACAGCAGUAUGAAGGCCAGGCUGAAGACCUUGCCAGAUCAGCUGAGAGGAGGUGCAUGGCCGUCGCCAGUUCGUACCGUGAGGCAUCCUGUUUAGUCAGGCAACGAUCGAGACCCGCAGUCUUAUUUGCCAGCAUGCCCUUUGGGGUGUAUGGGUACAAUAAGACGACCGCCAGCGCUAAGCUGGAGGAAGGAGCGGGCUACGGUAGGUCAGCAUGCCCCGAAUCCUCCGGGAUACACGCGGGCUACAAUGGUCAGGACAAAAGGUACCGACCUCGAAAGAGUGAGGUAAUCCACAAACCUGAUCUCAGUCCGGAUCGAAGGCUGCAACUCGCCUUCGUGAAGAUGGAAUCGGUAGUAAUCGUGACUCAAAAUGUCACGGUGAAUAUGUCCCUGCUCCUUGCACACACCGACC
rnacentral:rRNA from 1 species